UGUUCUAGCAAGUGUUGUCCAAUGAGAAAAGCCAAGGGGGAGGCAAAACGACAGAAAAAUAAAAUAUAGUAGCACAAUGAUAACAUCAAAGAUAUCCUAAGGGUCCUAUUGUUAAUUUCUAGUUUUAUAGCACAUCCAAAGCGAGGAUAAAGUGGCAGCGUAAGCAUUUGUUUUUGUUUCCCAAAUAAACUGCAAACACAGCUAUUUCUCUUUUGGCCAAAGAAAAAGUUGAAGUGACAAAAGCCAUGGUGCUGAACUCUUCGUUUCUCCUCUACGAGAUUUCUUUUCCAUGUAAUUCUUCACUUACACAUUAUUACUGUUAUAACUACAGCUUUUUAGUAUAGAAACGAUAAAUUAGAAAUUAUGGAUUUUUUUUAUGUUCGUUCACUUUCUUGGAUGUGGUUGAGGGAAAUGUUCAAUUUGACACCGGGUAUUUACGCCAAAUCAAUAGAAAUUUGAUCUAUAAUUGUAUAUAGAAUUAUGUUGCUUAAUCAUGAUUAAUUAAUGCAUGUUUUUACUUCACCAAAUUACUUUUGACCAUGAUAAGUAAAAUUGGUUUGGUGUAAAUACCGACUAAGUAUUUACCAUAGUACUCCCUCCGUCCCAAUCUAUGCUAAGUUAUUUGAC
rnacentral:lncRNA from 1 species